rnacentral:rRNA from 1 species
ACGAAGGUGGCAAGCGUUGUUCGGAUUUACUGGGCGUACAGGGAGCGUAGGCGGUUGGAUAAGCCCUCCGUGAAAUCUCCAGGCUUAACCUGGAAAGUGCAGAGGGGACUGUUCAGCUAGAGGAUGGGAGGGGAGCGCGGAAUUCCCGGUGUAGCGGUGAAAUGCGUAGAUAUCUGGAGGAACACCGGUGGCGAAGGCGGCAUCCUGGACCGGUAUUGACGCUGAGGCGCGAAAGCCAGGGGAGCAAACGGGA